UUCUUUCCCUUUGCUAAAUCAUGGAAAUCACUCCUAAUUUGCAGGUUUGUUUCUAGAUGCACGUAUAUAUGAUGAUUGUGUCUGCCUUUUCUUCUUUUUCUUGAUACCAUGUGUAGUAUUUAUUAGAACUGGAACGUUGGGCCCUAAUUCUCUUUGGUGGAUUGCCAUCAUCAGACAGGGCUUGUGCAUGAACAAUGGUGAACAACGUUUUUGUUUUUGCAGAUGCCAAGGCAGUACAAUUUUUCUUGUGACAUUCCAACUUAUAGGAGUUAAAAGAAAGUAAAAAAAAACUUGUAGGAGUUAAAAGAAAGUAGGAUUAAAGGCAUGUCUUAUUUGUCAAAAGACUAAUGCACUUUAAAUCAGUUCAACUGGCUAAGAACAUCUGACUUAUGUGGCCUACUCGAUUUUUCCAGUGUUCUUGGAUUGCUGACAAUGCUCAAUUUCCUCUAAACAUAAAUCUGUACUGGAUUUUUUUUCUAAGCUAUUAAUAUAUGCUAUUAUGACUGUAGUGUAAUUUCUCCAAAAAAAAAUAACUUUCCUGGUUACUUAAGCUUAGAUAAAGGAGGGUCCCAAUGGAGAAGGAGCACGGUGGAAAUGAAAAUACUAAGGAGGAGAUAUCACCGGAGCACCAAGACAACAAAGAACUGAGCUUUGCAGUAGUUCAUAGUGCCAAUCCGAGUGGAUUUUAUCAUUGCGUGAUACAACCAUUGAAUUCACCAGUUGACAAGAAUUAAUUAAGUUAUCUUUACUAUUAUAUUGUUGUCCGUACGUCAUCAAAAAUGUUUGAUGUCAAACAUCAGGAGAAUCAAGGCCGCACAAGCACACCCUCUCAACGUUAACCAUGUUGGACCGUCGGAUGGAUUUCUGAGUACUUCACCCCCUCCUGGUUGUUAGCAUUAAGUCUAAUUUACAGCCAUGUCUUCUUUGGGAUUACCUUUGUCUUCUAUAACAUCAGGUUUUGAGAUGUUAUAUUAUUUUUUACCAGUAAAUAAUACUUUUCUGGAAUUACAUCAUUAUGACAAACAAAUUUAUUUUUUUACCAGUGUGAAUAGGUUCUUGACUGCUUGCUCACGAGUUCUUCUUUGUUUAUAGUUUUCAUAAACUUCGUCCAGGAGCAGCAAGGCAACAUACAGCAGAUUGUCCACAAGGUCGUAUGCAGUUACCUUGCAAAUUGCAAAGCAUAUUGCCGAUUGUAAAGGUUAGAAUGAGAGUUAGCAGAAAUGCUGAUAGCAUUGGUCAAGAGAUUCAACAAUGUAAUCGUCUUGCUACGAACACCUGAGUCCUUCAAAUUUUCCCCUGGUAAAUUAUUUUAGUGUAUUUUUGGGGGAAAUUAAUGUGCAUGAAUUAAUAUAGAUUAGUUUUCAGUUGGGCUGAUUUGAUGUAGUUGUAUUAACGGUACUCUAUGCGUGGCUGUCUCCAUGUUAUUUUCUUGAAUUAAGAUGCGAGUAUCAUUUGCACUAUGGACUAUCCCAUUUUCAGAAGCAAAAUUACAUGAAAAUCCUUGUGA